AUUGAACGCUGGCGGAAUGCUUUACACAUGCAAGUCGAACGGCAGCACGGACUUCGGUCUGGUGGCGAGUGGCGAACGGGUGAGUAAUGUAUCGGAACGUGCCCAGUCGUGGGGGAUAACGUAGUGAAAAUUACGCUAAUACCGCAUACGAUCUAUGGAUGAAAGCGGGGGAUCGCAAGACCUCGCGCGAUUGGAGCGGCCGAUGGCAGAUUAGGUAGUUGGUAGGGUAAAGGCCUACCAAGCCGACGAUCUGUAGCUGGUCUGAGAGGAUGAUCAGCCACACUGGGACUGAGACACGGCCCAGACUCCUACGGGAGGCAGCAGUGGGGAAUUUUGGACAAUGGACGCAAGUCUGAUCCAGCCAUUCCGCGUGCAGGAUGAAGGCCCUCGGGUUGUAAACUGCUUUUGUACAGAACGAAAAGGUUUCUACUAAUACUAGGAGCUCAUGACGGUACUGUAAGAAUAAGCACCGGCUAACUACGUGCCAGCCGCCGCAGUAA
rnacentral:rRNA from 1 species